AACCCAGUGAACGAGGCCAGGGAUCCAACCUGCGUCCUCACGGAUGCCAGUCAGGUUCGUUAACUGCUAAGCCACAACCGGAACUCCUGUGUUAUAUUCUUUGACCCUGUCCUCUCAUCCUUCUUCCAAAGGUCAUACUUUGAUCAAUUUUAAAUUCCCCAGAAUUCUUCUCUUUUCUGUGUUUGGACUUUUAUCACCCUAUUUUAGAUCUGCCGAUGUCAUCUCUUCGUUAAUCAUUCUCUCUGGUGAGACCAAUAAGGUCUGCUUUUCCAAGUUUUUCUCUGUAACCUGCAUUUUCUCUGGGUUUGUUUCUUCCGCUGGGGUCGUGCCUUGUUACGACUUUGUCAUGGUCUUUCCCUUGUGCGUUGGAAGGCUUCCUCUAGGACUUUUCCUCACCUCUUCAGGGGAGCUGGCGACCGAUCUGAUUGGUAGAACUGGGAAGAAUGAACUGGGAAUGCUCCAUUGAACUCAGGCCCUUUCUUUUUAGGGGUGACUUGUGUCCCACUCGCACUUGCCCCCCCCAGCAAUGUCUUAGACCGGCUGAAGACACAUCAACCAACGUGGAGGGCAAUCAAAGAUCAAAAAGUUGGAAACAAUGAAUACGUCCAUCAAAAGGGAAAUGGUGAAAGAAACCAAAGUCUGGCCGUCCGCGGCCCGGCACGCUGCAGGGACAACUCUUACUGGAUAUGCCUCUGUGCCUUCUGAAUUGUGUUUAUACUGCCUAUCAAUCAAUCAAUGACAGACUGGAAGAAUUUUAAACUCUCGAUAAGCAGCACUGAGAUUUUGUCUCGUUGGAGGGUUACUCGUGCACUUAUCUUGUAGGAAGGAGCUCACCUCUGGAUCGUCUAGCCAGCUCACGGCUCUGUGCUGCUGAGGGUGAUGCAAAGCCCCAUCCGUCUCUGUCUCUCCGAGCGCCUGAUGCCCAGCUGAUGAUUAAGAACACGGGGUGGACGGGCGGCUCCCUAGCUUACCCAGCUGCCGCUUGGCCUCUGCCCAGGUGGGCUCAUUGCCUCGGAGAAUCAUGACUGCCUGCAACACCAUCUCCACUUGGGCAGGCGGCCGUCCGUAAGACUUGAUCUCUCCGAUAUCCUUCUUGUUCAGAGACUCCAGGGCCUGGGGAAAGAGAUGAACUUGGGGAGCAGAAUCAGCUCAAGGGGCCAGACCGGUCCUUGAUGGAGACAGGACCCAGCUGCAGCGCCCUCUUGUCCCCACCUCUCCAAGGACUUGAAGAACAAAGAAGGCAGCCCCAUUCCCCUCCUGAGCCCUCCCUCCAGUCCCUGUACCCGCAUGGCCUCUUCCAGGGCUGGCAAUGCCUCUUCUAGAUCCUUCUGGGCAUUGUCAGCCAGGGCCUGGCACUUGACUUCCUCAAUCGCAAUCUUCUCACUAUUGGCUGUGACGGCCUGGGGAUGAAAAGAAGAUGAGGGUUUGCCUGCACCUUGAGCAAAAGCAGCUGGUAACGAUGAAAGAGAAGGCUAAAGAAAACGUGAGGCAUGGACCACGCAGCCCCCGCCUUGGUGACGGCGGUGGAGGCGGGCAAGCCUCUGCCCCCCGUCUGCGGGGAGCAGGGGGUUCGAGGGGCAGGACCCGUGCUGGGCGGGGGCACCUUCUGCUGCUCAUCCGCCUCCCGCUUCUGCUGCACAAUGAUGACCAGGUACUCCUCACACUGCUUCUGGAACUCGGCCACCUUUUUCUUGGCAUCCUCCAGCUCCAGCGACAUCACUUCCACCUUUUCCCUGGUUUCAUCGAUCUUAAACAACCCGGUCCGCAGCUUAUUGGCCUGGUCCAGCAGCUCCUGCCGCUUCUCUGCCAGCAACCUGGGGGACCGAGUAGGGAGAGGUGCCUGGGGGGGCUGGGCCCCCGGGAAGGAGAGGCCCACAGUCUCCCCUCCCAGCGUGGCUCCGGUCCCUGCCUGCCUGCCUGUUGCCACCACCACCACCUCCCUAGUCAGAGUUUUAUCAUUUCCUGCCUGGAUCCUUGCCGACAGCCUCCCAACUGGUCUUCCUGCUUCCAGACUCUUGUCCUUCGGAUUUAUUCUACGCACCACUGUCACCACACACGCUGUCAGAAGGAGCUUGCUAGCUACUGUUUUCAUCACACUACUUCCCUACUUGAGACUCCGCCACCGUCCCCCGCUGUGCAGCAGGCAGGGGGGCUGCGAUGAACCAGAAAACACAAACCUCUUCCAAGGGGGCGGCCGUCGCUGGGCUCCAGCCUGGUUUUUUAUUUUCCCUUUGAGAAUGAAUGUGGGCUCAGUACUGCCACAAUUUCUGAUUUUUUAAGAGGCUGGAAAUCUGGAUUUUUCCAAGGCUCUCACGUUUUAAAUGUUGGCAACUCGUUCCACACGUUUUAACACUGCACCAGCCAAGAAAAGAAUGUCUCUGCGGGGUUGUUUUCUGGACUAAGUAAGAAAACGCACGUAAAGGGUAACUUAGCACAGGGACUGGGGACAGUAAACAGGAUGUGAGCCCAUGUACCCAGGAAAGGCAAGGACUUUAUUUGAUUUUUUUUAAAUGUUCUCACUGAUGGAAUCAAAUUUCAUUUCACUUCAUUUAUUUUUGUGGCUGCUCCUGUGGCUUAUGGAAAUUCCUGGGCCAGGGAUCAAACCUGCACCAGAGCAGCAACCAGAGCCCCAGCAAUGAUGAUGCUGGAUCCUUAGCCCGCUGAGCCACCAGGGAACCCCAAGGACUCUAUUUUGUCGAUGGUAUAUAUAUUAUGAGUACCCGGAAUAGUGCCCGGCACACAGCAGGUGCUCAAAACACAUGUUAAAUGAACAAAUUAAUAUUGGUCAUCAGUAUUUAUUACAAAAGGCUUUUUCUUCACCUAGAUUAAAAUACUAAAUCUAAUAAAUGAGGGGGUUUUUUUAC